GCGGCUUAUGAAUGGGCAUGGCAUCUGCCCAGUAAGCAGAACACUGUGGGUUCGAUUCCCAUCCCUGGACA
rnacentral:tRNA from 1 species